AGACCCGAAACCCGGUGAUCUAGCCAUGGGCAGGUUGAAGGUUGGGUAACACUAACUGGAGGACCGAACCGACUAAUGUUGAAAAAUUAGCGGAUGACCUGUGGCUGGGGGUGAAAGGCCAAUCAAACCGGGAGAUAGCUGGUUCUCCCCGAAAGCUAUUUAGGUAGCGCCUCGUGAAUUCAUCUCCGGGGGUAGAGCACUGUUUCGGCUAGGGGGCCAUCCCGGCUUACCAACCCGAUGCAAACUGCGAAUACCGGAGAAUGUUAUCACGGGAGACACACGGCGGGUGCUAACGUCCGUCGUGAAGAGGGAAACAACCCAGACCGCCAGCUAAGGUCCCAAAGUCAUGGUUAAGUGGGAAACGAUGUGGGAAGGCCCAGACAGCCAGGAUGUUGGCUUAGAAGCAGCCAUCAUUUAAAGAAAGCGUAAUAGCUCACUGGUCGAGUCGGCCUGCGCGGAAGAUGUAACGGGGCUAAACCAUGCACCGAAGCUGCGGCAGCGAACGUAUCACUUAAAGCGAUUCAGCGGGUUACGAUUGACGGAGCGAAGCGACGUCAAAGCGUAUACAAAGUCGAGUCGGUUUAAGGAUACGUUCGUUGGGUAGGGGAGCGUUCUGUAAGCCUGUGAAGGUGGCCUGUGAGGGUUGCUGGAGGUAUCAGAAGUGCGAAUGCUGACAUAAGUAACGAUAAAGCGGGUGAAAAGCCCGCUCGCCGGAAGACCAAGGGUUCCUGUCCAACGUUAAUCGGGGCAGGGUGAGUCGACCCCUAAGGCGAGGCCGAAAGGCGUAGUCGAUGGGAAACAGGUUAAUAUUCCUGUACUUGGUGUUACUGCGAAGGGGGGACGGAGAAGGCUAUGUUGGCCGGGCGACGGUUGUCCCGGUUUAAGCGUGUAGGUGUGUGUUCCAGGUAAAUCCGGUUCACUUUAACACUGAGGCGUGACGACGAGGCACUACGGUGCUGAAGCAACAAAUGCCCUGCUUCCAGGAAAAGCCUCUAAGCAU
rnacentral:rRNA from 1 species